rnacentral:rRNA from 1 species
UAGGGAAUCUUCGGCAAUGGGGGCAACCCUGACCGAGCAACGCCGCGUGAGUGAAGAAGGUUUUCGGAUCGUAAAGCUCUGUUGUAAGUCAAGAACGGGUGUGAGAGUGGAAAGUUCACACUGUGACGGUAGCUUACCAGAAAGGGACGGCUAACUACGUGCCAGCAGCCGCGGUAAUACGUAGGUCCCGAGCGUUGUCCGGAUUUAUUGGGCGUAAAGCGAGCGCAGGCGGUUUGAUAAGUCUGAAGUUAAAGGCUGUGGCUCAACCAUAGUUCGCUUUGGAAACUGCCAAACUUGAGUGCAGAAGGGGAGAGUGGAAUUCCAUGUGUAGCGGUGAAAUGCGUAGAUAUAUGGAGGAACACCGGUGCGAAAGCGGCUCUCUGGUCUGUAACUGACGCUGAGGCUCGAAAGCGUGGGGAGCGAACAGGAUUAGAUACCCUGGUAGUCCACGCCGUAAACGAUGAGUGCUAGGUGUUGGAUCCUUUCCGGGAUUCAGUGCCGCAGCUAACGCAUUAAGCACUCCGCCUGGGGGAGUACGACCGCAAGGUUGAAAC